GGUGGACACAAACCGGCUGCAAGCAGCCCCGGGGAGCUGCCAGGCCGAGACCCCCACCCCAUUGCCAGGCGGAGACACUCCUUGACCAGAUGAACGAAUGAACGACAAACUAACACCCAUCGCGGGUUGCUGAGGAGGGACUUUUCUGAGUCCUGAGCUCUGGCUGAGGCCAGGCAGUCCUCGAGCUUCACCAGCCCCGGGCAGAG
rnacentral:lncRNA from 1 species